AUUGAACGCUGGCGGCAGGCCUAACACAUGCAAGUCGAGCGGUAGAGAGAAGCUUGCUUCUCUUGAGAGCGGCGGACGGGUGAGUAAUGCCUAGGAAUCUGCCUGAUAGUGGGGGAUAACGUCCGGAAACGGACGCUAAUACCGCAUACGUCCUACGGGAGAAAGUGGGGGCUCUUCGGACCUCACGCUAUCAGAUGAGCCUAGGUCGGAUUAGCUAGGUGGUGGGGUAAAGGCUGACCAAGGCGACGAUCCGUAACUGGUCUGAGAGGAUGAUCAGUCACACUGGAACUGAGACACGGUCCAGAAUCCUACGGGAGGCAGCAGUGGGGAAUAUUGGACAAUGGGCGAAAGCCUGAUCCAGCCAUGCCGCGUGUGUGAAGAAGGUCAUCGGAUUGUAAAGCACUUUAAGUUGGGAGGAAGGGUCGUUACCUAAUACGUGGCGAUUUUGACGUUACCGACAGAAUAAGCACCGGCUAACUCUGUGCCAGCAGCCGCCGUAAAAC
rnacentral:rRNA from 1 species